UGAUACCAGGGUCAAAAGGUCAUGUGUUUCAUGCUUGCAUGAAAAAGCAUGGCCUUGGGACCCAUAAAACAUGAGAAAGUAGCCCGAGUAGGGCGGAUUUCGAAUGUUUUUAGGAUUGCGGGAGCACAAAGUGCGGAGCAAUCCGUAGGUAUCA
rnacentral:sRNA from 1 species